GACGAACGCUGGCGGCGUGCUUAACACAUGCAAGUCGAACGGAAAGGCCCCUUUAGGGGUACUCGAGUGGCGCACGGGUGCGUAACACGUGAGUAACCUGCCCUUGACUUCGGGAUAACUUCAGGAAACUGGGGCUAAUACCGGAUAGGAAUCCUUGCUGCAUGGUGGGGGUUGGAAAGCUUCGGCGGGUUUGGAUGGACUCGCGGCUUAUCAGCUUGUUGGUGGGGUAGUGGCUUACCAAGGCUUUGUCGGGUAGCCGGCCUGAGAGGGUGACCCGCCACAUUGGGACUGGGAAACGGCCCAGACUCCUACGGGAGGGAGCAGGGGGGAAUAUUGCACAAGGGGCGGAAGCCUGAUGCAGCAACGCCGCGUGCGGGAUGACGGCCUUCGGGUUGGAAACCGCUUUCAGCAGGGGCGAAGCUUGUGGUGACGGUACCUGCAGAAGAAGCACCGGCUAACUACGUG
rnacentral:rRNA from 1 species